rnacentral:rRNA from 1 species
AUUGAACGCUGGCGGCAUGCCUUACACAUGCAAGUCGAACGGCAGCACGGGAGCUUGCUCCUGGUGGCGAGUGGCGAACGGGUGAGUAAUACAUCGGAACGUACCCAGUAGUGGGGGGUAACGCACCGAAAGGUGCGCUAAUACCGCAUACGACCUAAGGGUGAAAGCGGGGGACCGUAAGGCCUCGCGCUAUUGGAGCGGCCGAUGUCUGAUUAGCUAGUUGGCGGGGUAAAGGCCCACCAAGGCGACGAUCAGUAGCUGGUCUGAGAGGACGAUCAGCCACACUGGGACUGAGACACGGCCCAGACUCCUACGGGAGGCAGCAGUGGGGAAUUUUGGACAGUGGGGGCAACCCUGAUCCAGCAAUGCCGCGUGUGCGAAGAAGGCCUUCGGGUUGUAAAGCACUUUUGUCAGGGAAGAAAUCUUUUGGGCUAAUACCCCGGAAGGAUGACGGUACCUGAAGAAUAAGCACCGGCUAACUACGUGCCAGCCGCCGCGGUAA